rnacentral:misc_RNA from 1 species
AAAGUUGAUUGCAAUUUAUAAAUAACUCGAGGGGAACCGUCUUUCAAAGAAGCUUAGGAGGUUCUUUACACAUAAUUGUAAAAAUACUCCGAGUAUAUAUUCCACCAGCGCAGACAAGAAUAAAUCACAAUUUACACAAAUAGUGCAAGCAUAUCCAAUUAAAAACUUACUUUGAAAAAUCAGCAAACUCAAUUCUCGAGGCAUGAUUGUUAUAAUUCAUCUUCAAGAUAGUUGUACUCGAAAGUGAACUCAGUCUUGAUUCUUUGACACCAUCCAUGUUGGAGGUCAUCAUUGGCAAUAUGGAAAUCAAAGUAAACAUAAGUCCCUUGUUCAUAUUCAUCAGUUGCCACUUUGGGUUCCUCAUGCCGCUGAAACCAAGUGUUGUAUUUUCUGUGAUAUCUCCAGGAUUGUUUCUUUAGUUCUUUUGCAGCCAAAUAUUGCUGAUAGGUAUUC